ACGGGAGGCAGCAGUGGGGAAUAUUGCACAAUGGGGGAAACCCUGAUGCAGCGACGCCGCGUGAAGGAAGAAGUAUUUCGGUAUGUAAACUUCUAUCAGCAGGGAAGAAAAUGACGGUACCUGACUAAGAAGUCCCGGCUAACUACGUGCCAGCAGCCGCGGUAAUACGUAGGGGGCAAGCGUUAUCCGGAUUUACUGGGUGUAAAGGGAGCGUAGGCGGCAAGGCAAGCCAGAUGUGAAAGGCUGGGGCUCAACCCCAGGACUGCAUUUGGAACUGUCUAGCUAGAGUGUUGGAGAGGUAAGCGGAAUUCCUAGUGUAGCGGUGAAAUGCGUAGAUAUUAGGAGGAACACCAGUGGCGAAGGCGGCUUACUGGACAAUUACUGACGCUGAGGCUCGAAAGCGUGGGGAGCAAACAGGAUUAGAUACCCUGGUA
rnacentral:rRNA from 2 species